rnacentral:misc_RNA from 1 species
AACCUAGCACACCUGCGGUGUGUACCUGCGGAGGGAUCAUUAACGAGCCGUGGGGGUCACCCCGAAAGGGGGCAGAUCUCUCACCUGGCCACCCUUGUUGUACUUUACGUAUUUUGCUUUGGUGGGCCCUGCCAUGAGGCCGCCGGGGAACCGAGUUUCCGGGCCCGUUGUCCACCAAGGUUUAACUAAAUCUGCAAGGUUUUUUGCUGUCUGAGUGGGAAAGCAUAAACGAAACAAAAC